GCCUCCUGGUGCCUUACGGGUGAAGCAGCGUAUAAUAACCAACACGAUUCUAAUAAAUGUGCUUCUCAGCAGAUGACUGCUCCGGCCUCUACUCGUCAGGAACUGUGCUCUCGACGCGGUUCAGCAUAACUCGGGACGAAGAGCUGAGACUAGAGCACUGCACAGGCUGCAUUUUUAGGCCCCAGCCCGGCAUUCCUUCAAUUUGCCCGCCUGGAUCCGGGCGACGGCUCCAUAUCUGGCCCGGGCCCAGCCUGAGGAAUUUCGCCGUUUCCUGGUCCGGUCCAAGCCUGAGAAAUUUCUACGCUCCCCAGCCCGUCAAUGACAGAGUGCCAGGCUAUAAAAGUUAGCUGUGGCUAACUAACAGUGACGUAGCACAGGCUCGAGUCCGAUCAAAGUCCAUCAACGUACAGACCCGGUCCCACAAUGUCAAACCAGAGAUCAACUCAGGCAUGCCAAAGGAAGGCUUUUCCCAGCCUGGCCCGUGCAGUGCUCCAGCUGCGACCCCUUUCACGCCACAGCGGUAACUCAAUGUCGGUCUGACAUCGGUCGGGCAUCGGGAACUCCCUCCCGGGACAAUGUGUGUGACUGUCUCUACGAAUCGGUACUCACCUGAGCAAGACCCAGGCAGAAGAGAAGCCACAAGUGCCGUCACGCCCGAAGUGGCACUGCAUCCCCAAGCCCCAACCUGUUAGAGAAUCAAAUAAACACUGGUCACAGUUUCUGGUACACCACCUCUGUGCACCGAGAGGCUAUACAACAAAAUGUGAACAUAGGAAGACGGACUGAAUAUGCAGCAGCAUUACGAUACUACGGCAUGUUUGCAUGGAAUUAUCUUGGUGGAUUGCAAAACAUCACACAGACGCCUGCCCUGGUGUCACAUCUGACAUGUUCAUUAUUUGACGCAUAACAAGAUAUAGCCACACUACUAUUUUGGAAAAGGCUCUUAGUAACAUGAUAAUUAGGCAUGUACAAAUAUUCAAAUUUUUAAAUGCUGAAGCAAAUAAUCCUUUAUUCAAUUUGAUUUUUCCGAAUUAAAUACAGAAUUCUAUAUCCGAAUAGUUCCGAAGCUACAUACCUAAGGAUGAAACCGGCACACACGAGGGUAUAAAACAAAAUUAAUUCUACUUCAUAUUCUGAUCCGUAUCAAUAUCGAGUAUACAUGUUUAUAUCUGUAUAUGUGUCGGAUGUGUAACAGAUCUUGUUAUCCAACUACUCGCUUCAUUAGGCUAGGAUUAGACUUUAUUAUAAGUAUUUGCCUCGUAUUAGCCAUUGAAAUAAUUAUGUGUGCAUGUCUAAUGCCAAUGCAAUAUCUACACACUGGCACAUCUAGUGGUAUCCUUCCCAAAAGGUGUGCAUUGUUCAUCUGCAUCCAGAAAUAAAUGAAGAGAUAGUGUUCGAAACGGG